rnacentral:rRNA from 1 species
AUUGAACGCUGGCGGCAGGCUUAACACAUGCAAGUCGAGCGGGGGAAGGUAGCUUGCUACCGGACCUAGCGGCGGACGGGUGAGUAAUGCUUAGGAAUCUGCCUAUUAGUGGGGGACAACAUCUCGAAAGGGAUGCUAAUACCGCAUACGUCCUACGGGAGAAAGCAGGGGAUCUUCGGACCUUGCGCUAAUAGAUGAGCCUAAGUCGGAUUAGCUAGUUGGUGGGGUAAAGGCCUACCAAGGCGACGAUCUGUAGCGGGUCUGAGAGGAUGAUCCACCACACUGGGACUGAGACACGGCCCAGACUCCUACGGGAGGCAACAGUGGGGAAUAUUGGACAAUGGGGGGAACCCUGAUCCAGCCAUGCCGCGUGUGUGAAGAAGGCCUUAUGGUUGUAAAGCACUUUAAGCGAGGAGGAGGCUACUCUAGUUAAUACCUAGGGAUAGUGGACGUUACUCGCAGAAUAAGCACCGGCUAACUCUGUGCCAGCCGCCGCCGUAA